AUACGUAGGGGGCUGGCGUUAUCCGGAAUUACUGGGCGUAAAGGGUGCGUAGGUGGUUUCUUAAGUCAGAAGUGAAAGGCUACGGCUCAACCGUAGUAAGCUUUUGAAACUAAGAGACUUGAGUGCAGGAGAGGAGAGUAGAAUUCCUAGUGUAGCGGUGAAAUGCGUAGAUAUUAGGAGGAAUACCAGUUGCGAAGGCGGCUCUCUGGACUGUGACUGACACUGAGGCACGAAAGCGUGGGGAGCAAACAGGAUUAGAUACCCUGGUAGUCCACGCCGUAAACGAUGAGUACUAGCUGUCGGGGGUUACCCCCCUCGGUGGCGCAGCUAACGCAUUAAGUACUCCGCCUGGGAAGUACGCUCGCAAGAGUGAAACUCAAAGGAAUUGGCGGGG
rnacentral:rRNA from 1 species